GGAGACUGUGCAGGCUGAGGUAUGUAACUGCCAUGCACAAGGAGACUGCGCAGGCUUAGGUAUGUAACUGCCAUGCACCAGGAGACUGUGCAGGCUGAGGUAUGUAACUGCCAUGCACAAGGAGACUGUGCAGACUGAGGUAUGUAACUGCCAUGCACCAGGAGACUGUGCAGGCUGAGGUAUGUAACUGCCAUGCACCAGGAGACUGUGCAGGCUGAGGUAUGUAACUGCCAUGCACAAGGAGACUGUGCAGGCUGAGUUACAUAACCGUAAUGCACCAGGAGACUGCGCAAGCUGAGCUAUGUAACUGCCAUGCACCAGGAGACUGCAUGGACGGUACAGGCUGAGUUACAUUACAGUAAUGCACCAGGAGACUGUGCAGUCUGAGGUAUGGGGGCCAGUAGGCACUUACAUCCUUGGGCAAAUGGCAACUUAUUACUAGAGGAAACGAUUCAUGUACAAUAUUCCUUGUGGAAACGAAUGUUUCAUAUCUAACUUAUUCAAAAUGUGGUGAAUAAGCAGCAUAGAAUAAGAAAUUGUUCACAAAAAUACUAAUACCCAGUUGGCACAAAGAUCCAAAGGAAAAAAAUCACAUAUUACUGAAGAGAAAAAUUUAAAGACAAUACAGUAUUCCUUGUAAAAACCACUGUUUCAUGUUUUAA